AUUGAACGCUGGCGGCAGGCCUAACACAUGCAAGUCGAACGGUAACAGGAAGCAGCUUGCUGCUUUGCUGACGAGUGGCGGACGGGUGAGUAAUGUCUGGGAAACUGCCUGAUGGAGGGGGAUAACUACUGGAAACGGUAGCUAAUACCGCAUAACGUCGCAAGACCAAAGAGGGGGACCUUCGGGCCUCUUGCCAUCGGAUGUGCCCAGAUGGGAUUAGCUAGUAGGUUGGGUAACGGCUCACCUAGGCGACGAUCCCUAGCUGGUCUGAGAGGAUGACCAGCCACACUGGAACUGAGACACGGUCCAGACUCCUACGGGAGGCAGCAGUGGGGAAUAUUGCACAAUGGGCGCAAGCCUGAUGCAGCCAUGCCGCGUGUAUGAAGAAGGCCUUCGGGUUGUAAAGUACUUUCAGCGGGGAGGAAGGGAGUAAAGUUAAUACCUUUGCUCAUUGACGUUACCCGCAGAAGAAGCACCGGCUAACUCCGUG
rnacentral:rRNA from 1 species